CAGCCCUGCGGUGACACAGCACGAUUGAGUGUUCCGGUGAAUGAUUCGAACUCUUCCGUGUCGCGUUCCGUGUCCGGAAUGGGAAGGUUUGUGAACCUUAACACUUAGAGGAAGGAGAAGUCGUAACAAGGUUUCCGUAGGUGAACCUGCGGAAG
rnacentral:ncRNA from 1 species